rnacentral:lncRNA from 1 species
AAAUAUAUUUUUGAAUAUUAUGGUGUGGAUAUAAUAUAAUGUUAUAGUUAUAGGUAAUAUUUACAAAUUUUGCAAAGUAAGCAAGUGGUUAUAUAAUAUUCGAUUGGUUGGGGAAUAUUCGUUUUAACAGGGAAUAUUCAUACGACGACACAAUCAUUGGUGGACCCCACAACGGAAGUAUUGUCAUAAUUAGAAAACGACAUAAUUAUCAUUUUAUAAAAAUA